rnacentral:rRNA from 1 species
CCUACGGGAGGCAGCAGUGGGGAAUCUUCCGCAAUGGACGAAAGUCUGACGGAGCAACGCCGCGUGAGUGAAGACGGCCUUCGGGUUGUAAAGCUCUGUUAAUCGGGACGAAAGGUCCGCUUGUGAAUAAUGAGUGGAAUUGACGGUACCGGAAUAGAAAGCCACGGCUAACUACGUGCCAGCAGCCGCGGUAAU